ACAAAUUUUGUAAUGUGGAAGGAAAUCGUGACCCUUGGGAUAAAGUAUACACUUUUCUAAAAAAUUCUAAUAAUAGGACCAUGCCUCCUACCUUGUUAACCAAUGCUGACGGUAAUGUGUGCUUUAAUUCUGAAAGGGUAUUUGGAGUCAUAAUGGAUUAUUUUUUCCCUAAAGAUGAUGUCAACCAAAAUAGCAUUACUCAUCAGCUGGUUCAUUUCUGCGUUAAACAGCCAUAUGUUGCAGAGGAUUACUUGUAUUUUUCCCGGGAGGAAAUACAUGAAAUUGUGAGUGGCUUGGCUAACAAAAAGACAUCUGGAC
rnacentral:lncRNA from 1 species